UAUUAUAUAGUAUAUAAAUUACAUUUUAUUUCCAAUAAAAAAAAUUAAAUUCUUUCUUAAUAUAAUAA
rnacentral:tRNA from 1 species